UACAGAGGUCUCAAGCGUUGUUCGGAUUCAUUGGGCGUAAAGGGUGCGUAGGCGGCGCGGUAAGUCGGGUGUGAAAUCUCGGAGCUUAACUCCGAAACUGCAUUCGAUACUGCCGUGCUUGAGGACUGGAGAGGAGACUGGAAUUUACGGUGUAGCGGUGAAAUACGUAGAUAUCGUAAGGAAGACCAGUGGCGAAGGCGGGUCUCUGGACAGUUCCUGACGCUGAGGCACGAAGGUCAGGGGAGCAAACGGG
rnacentral:rRNA from 1 species